ensembl:lncRNA
AAUGGGUAUGCCGAGAAAACAUGCAGUUCCCCUAUAAGCCGGGACCAGAGCGGCGUUUCCUCCUCCGGCCUCAGCCUGCAACAAGGCUGAUCCAUCUCAGAGGUGGAGUCUGGGGAACAGGGGAGUCUGAGGGCUGGAGGUGGAGUUUCAUAACACAGAUGGAUGUUCACCACCAUGGCUUUCUCAGACUUUUAAACCAGAAUGAGGUUCAGAGAGCUGUCAGAGGAUGUUGAAUGAACAGAAAUGGAAAAUUGGAACCAAUAUACAUUGAGCUACUUUGUGAAUCACAGUGGGAAAGCGUUGGAGUCCCAGCCUCACAUCACUUAAGACCCCACUCACUCAUAUCCACUGACAGCAGCACUCUCGCAGCCUGCUCCCCAUACCAGGGGGCACUUUCUCCAGGAUGAGCAAGAAAAACUGUUCUCCACUGUACCAGAUAUGGGUUUGAUGAAUUCAGCCCUGUGCAUAUCCAUGAAGGCCACCCAAGAACUUCCAGAAACUUCUGGUUCACCAUGAUCACCAGAAGAACAUCAAUGGAAUUAUUUCCAGUGCCUCGACACUUUGAAGGGAGGCUCAGUGUCCUGAGGCCAAGAUCAGAGAAUAACUGGGAGAUGAAACAGGAAGCUCUGUGACACACUUGAUCGAAAAUGACACAGAUCGAAAAAUCAGGAUUUGACCCCCACCUCCAGCACCUUUACCUGCUGCCAGCAGAUCACAGCUGGAAAGCAGGCGAAGGGUUUGCCCUGGGACCAAAUUCUAACCACCAUGGAUUCUUGAGGGCCUCUGCACUCACUGGUGAUGUGUCUGCGAUAUUUUGGUCACUGUCAACUCUGGUCAGUUUCCUAUUUAUCUGGUCAGUGUCUUGUGUCUUACUCCUUUCUCCUUCAUUAAAAGCAAAACUAAAGAAAACUGAAUUGUUUGUUUAUUAGCUACAUUUGAACACUAAUUUAAGGGAACAGUGUUUGAGAUGAAUUUCUCCAAGGCCACAAAUAAAAAUCUUAUCAUAACCACACGGAUCAUCAUGACAUCGUUAUAUUGUGUUGAACUUGAAUCUUUUAUUACUCAGCCAUGUUUGUCCUACUUCUUAUAUCUCUUUAGAUCUCCCUUGAGUCAGUAUGAGCAAGUUGACAUUUGAGAAGAGCAUUGGGAUUCGUCUGAAAGUCUCUUUCCACACCCACCCUGAUCGAGGACUGUAGCUGUGAACCCAAGAUUACUCCCAACCUUGAGCUUUACACUGGAGAGACCUCAGAUUUCUUUGCUCCCUCUCGUACUCCACAGAUCCAUCACCUCUUUGCUUAUUCAUUCCAUAUAGAUUUCUCUGGGACCCACUGUGUAGCAGGUUCUGGAGAUAAAGUAGUGGACAGGAUCAGCUCUGUCCACUUUCUGGGCAUUUCUAGCCUCCUUAUGAGCGGGCUUUGUUCAGUAAGUGUCAAGGAUUGCUGUGUGCAGCUUGUCACGGGCAUUGUAUUGAGAUGCACUGAUUCCCUGGAUCCACCCACUCUUCAAACCUGAGACACUGGGUUUGGCACUUGGAUAUUCUUUGAAAUGAUUGAUUUCUUCUGCAGAGUCCCUCUGUUCACCAUAGUCACAAGCAGGACAGUGUGACCUUCCUGGGGACAGGCCAAAGAGGCCAUUGGUAGCCACCUCCCAGUUCUUUUUUUUUUUCCAGUACCUGGGAUCGAACUCAGGACCUUGAGCUUGCGAGGCAGGCAGGAGCAUGACUGAGCUAAAUCCCCAGCCCCUCCCGUGCUUUUUGCCCAUCUUCACUUUUAAAUGUCC